UACGUAGGGACCGAGCGUUGUCCGGAAUCAUUGGGCGUAAAGAGCUCGUAGGCGGUUUGUCGCGUCUGCUGUGAAAUCUGGGGGGCUCAACCCCCCAGCCUGCAGUGAGUACGGGCAGACUAGAGUGCGGUAGGGGGAGAUUGGAAUUCCUGGUGUAGCGGUGAAAUGCGUAGAGAUCGGAAAGAACACCAACGGCGAAAAGCACUCUGCUGGGCCGACACCUGACACUGAGAGACGAAAGCUAGGGGAGCGAAUGGG
rnacentral:rRNA from 1 species